CAAAUGACUUCCAACAAUGGAUAUCUUGACUCUCGUAUCGAUGAAGAACGUAGCAAAAUGCGACACA
rnacentral:rRNA from 1 species